rnacentral:antisense_RNA from 1 species
UCUCCCUUUUGAUGAGAAGAGUAAGUCUCAUUCUGAUUCAACAGCAGAGAUCAAAGAAAAGACUUCUGUUUUCUGGCCACCAGAUAUAUGUUAUCUGUGCUUAAAGAACUGAAAAACACACAUCAAAGGAGAAUUCUCUUGGAAAGAGAGGGUUCAAGCAUUAUUGUUAGGUGUGCUGGAAUCCUUUCCCGAGUCAGUACUGCUUUCUAGAACAGAACCAGGGAGAUCUAUUUGGAAUGUAUCUAACUCCAAAGAAACCAUCAGAGGUAAUAGUGGAGACGGGGUUUCACCAUGUUGGCCAGACUGGUCUUGAACUCCAGACCUCAUGAUUCGCCUGCCUCCGCCUCCCAAAGUGCUGGGAUUACAUGUGUGAGACACCACACUCAGCGGAUAGAGAGAAUUUUGACAGAUUGGCUUCUCUCACAUGGCAAGAAACAUUGCUGCUAGCACUUCUGGAGUUCUACGUUCUACAACAUCCACCACUGGAUCUUAACAUAGAUGUAAGAUCAAAUGUAAUAGCACGUCAAACAAUGUGUAACUCCAGUUAUACAAACAUUACUGUAUGUCAUUGGGGAUACGAAGCUCUACACACUUGAAGAUGGUGAAGGAAUAUAAAAAUCUAUAUGUCUCACAGUCCAGACUUGGAGUACAAGUAAUAAGAAGAAUAAAACUUACUCCCU